rnacentral:rRNA from 1 species
AGGCCUUCGGGUUGUAAAGYACUUUCAGCGGGGAGGAAGGCGAUAAGGUUAAUAASCUUGUCGAUUGACGUUACCCGCAGAAGAAGCASCGGCUAACUCCGUGCCAKCAGCCGCGGUAAUACGGARGGUGCAAGCGUUAAUCRGAAUUACUGGGCGUAAASCGCACGCASGCGGUCUGUCAAKUCSGAUGGGAAAUCCCCGGGCUCAACCUGKGAACUGCAUUCGAAACUG